rnacentral:rRNA from 1 species
UAGGGAAUCUUCCGCAAUGGGCGAAAGCUUGACGGAGCAACGCCGCGUGAGUGAUGAAGGUCUUCGGAUCGUAAAACUCUGUUAUUAGGGAAGAACAAAUGUGUAAGUAACUAUGCACGUCUUGACGGUACCUAAUCAGAAAGCCACGGCUAACUACGUGCCAGCAGCCGCGGUAAUACGUAGGUGGCAAGCGUUAUCCGGAAUUAUUGGGCGUAAAGCGCGCGUAGGCGGUUUUUUAAGUCUGAUGUGAAAGCCCACGGCUCAACCGUGGAGGGUCAUUGGAAACUGGAAAACUUGAGUGCAGAAGAGGAAAGUGGAAUUCUAUGUGUAGCGGUGAAAUGCGCAGAGAUAUGGAGGAACACCAGUGGCGAAGGCGACUUUCUGGUCUGUAACUGACGCUGAUGUGCGAAAGCGUGGGGAUCAAACAGG